GGGGGCGAUGGGUUUCGACGGGGUGAUGAUGGUGCCGAGGUGCAUACCGAGGUUCCAGGCCACCUCGUAAAUCCGACCUGGGAAAAACAGUUCCCGCAACGGGAUACGCCCUGGCCGCCUAAGCGAAAGGCGACCACGCCUCCAUCGGUUGAUCCGAUCCGGCCGAUGGCAGGCGGCAUACAGGAUCGGAUAGGUCUGGUGAUGCCUCUAAGCCAGGCUGAAAUAACAGAGGCUGGCAGCGACGGAUCCUGUCUCCCGGAGCCGUGGCUGUAAGAGAAAUGGGAGGCUAAGUAUGUAGGGCCCGUCACCAGAACACCCCGGACGCGGGUUCGAUUCCCGCCGCCUCCAUUU
rnacentral:tmRNA from 1 species